GUCUCCGUAGGUGAACCUGCGGAAGGAUCAUUAUUGUAUAACCGAGGUGCGAGGGCUGUCGCUGACCCGAAAGGUCGUGCACGCCCGAGUGCCCUCACACACAUCCAUCUCACCCCUAUGUGCACCACCGCGUGGGUCCCCCUUUGGCUUGUUCGGAGGGGGGCUUACGUUUUCACACAAACUUUGUAUGCAGUGUAGAAUGUAUUUUUUGUUUUUGCGAUCACGCAAUCAAUACAACUUUCAACAACGGAUCUCUUGGCUCUC
rnacentral:misc_RNA from 1 species